CCUCCUUAUACGAUUUAGAACUUAUUUGUUCGUAGUGUCCACACAGAUGAUUGUUAAUUGUAAAGAGAACAACACUUAUUGUUUGGGUCUGUAGCUCAGUUGGUUAGAGCGCACCCCUGAUAAGGGUGAGGUCGGUGGUUCAAAUCCACCCAGACCCACCACUUCUUCUUAAUCUUAUAACUAAGGUUGAAAUGAAGUCGGAUAACAAACAAUAAGACCAGCAUAUGUGGGGCUAUAGCUCAGCUGGGAGAGCGCCUGCCUUGCACGCAGGAGGUCAGCAGUUCGAUCCUGCUUAGCUCCACCACUUUACUUCUUAAAAAUAAAUAUUCUUUAUCGGGUAGCAACAUCACCUGAGAAUAGAGUGUGUUUAAUUUUGAGAAGUUUUUGAUUCUCUGCUCUUUAAAAAUUUGGAAAAGCUGAUAAUAAAAUUCUGAUAAAUAUUCGUAUUUAUCAAGAGUUUUCAAAAGUAAAAAGAAUGAUAGCAGUAUCAA
rnacentral:misc_RNA from 1 species